CGUGCAGGCGGUUUCGUAAGUCGGACGUGAAAGCUCCUGGCUCAACUGGGAGAGGUCGUUCGAUACUGCGGGACUUGAGGUUGGGAGAGGGACGUGGAAUUCCCGGUGUAGUGGUGGAAUGCGUAGAUAUCGGGAGGAACACCAGUGGCGAAGGCGGCGUCCUGGCCCACACCUGACGCUAAGACGCGAAAGCGUGGGUAGCGAACG
rnacentral:rRNA from 1 species